CUACGGGUUGCUGCAGUGAGGAAUAUUGCACAAUGGGGGGAACCCUGAUGCAGCAACGCCGCGUGGAGGAUGACGCAUUUCGGUGUGUAAACUCCUUUUAUAUGUCAAGAAAAUGACGGUAGCAUAUGAAUAAGCAUUGGCUAACUCCGUGCACAGCAGCCGCGGUAAUACGGAGGGUGCAAGCGUUACUCGGAAUCACUGGGCGUAAAGGACGCGUAGGCGGGUUGGAAAGUCAGGUGUGAAAUCCUACAGCUUAACUGUAGAACUGCACUUGAAACUUCUAAUCUAGAGUAUGGGAGGGGGAGAUGGAAUUAGUGGUGUAGGGGUAAAAUCUGUAGAUAUCAUUAGGAAUACCUAAAGCGAAGGCGAUCUCCUGGAACAUUACUGACGCUAAGGCGUGAAAGCGUGGGGAGCAAACAGGAUUAGAUACCCCUGUAGUC
rnacentral:rRNA from 1 species